rnacentral:rRNA from 1 species
CGUGUUCGAAAGGGAAACAGCCCAGACCACCAGCUAAGGUCCCAAAAUAUAUGUUAAGUGGAAAAGGAUGUGGCGUUGCCCAGACAACUAGGAUGUUGGCUUAGAAGCAGCCAUCAUUUAAAGAGUGCGUAAUAGCUCACUAGUCGAGUGACACUGCGCCGAAAAUGUACCGGGGCUAAACAUAUUACCGAAGCUGUGGAUUGUCCUUUGGACAAUGGUAGGAGAGCGUUCUAAGGGCGUUGAAGCAUGAUCGUAAGGACAUGUGGAGCGCUUAGAAGUGAGAAUGCCGGUGUGAGUAGCGAAAGACGGGUGAGAAUCCCGUCCACCGAUUGACUAAGGUUUCCAGAGGAAGGCUCGUCCGCUCUGGGUUAGUCGGGUCCUAAGCUGAGGCCGACAGGCGUAGGCGAUGGAUAACAGGUUGAUAUUCCUGUACCACCUAUAAUCGUUUUAAUCGAUGGGGGGACGCAGUAGGAUAGGCGAAGCGUGCGAUUGGAUUGCACGUCUAAGCAGUAAGGCUGAGUAUUAGGCAAAUCCGGUACUCGUUAAGGCUGAGCUGUGAUGGGGAGAAGACAUUGUGUCUUCGAGUCGUUGAUUUCACACUGCCGAGAAAAGCCUCUAGAUAGAAAAUAGGUGCCCGUACCGCAAACCGACACAGGUAGUCAAGAUGAGAAUUCUAAGGUGAGCGAGCGAACUCUCGUUAAGGAACUCGGCAAAAUGACCCCGUAACUUCGGGAGAAGGGGUGCUCUUUAGGGUUAACGCCCAGAAGAGCCGCAGUGAAUAGGCCCAAGCGACUGUUUAUCAAAAACACAGGUCUCUGCUAAACCGUAAGGUGAUGUAUAGGGGCUGACGCCUGCCCGGUGCUGGAAGGUUAAGAGGAGUGGUUAGCUUCUGCGAAGCUACGAAUCGAAGCCCCAGUAAACGGCGGCCGUAACUAUAACGGUCCUAAGGUAGCGAAAUUCCUUGUCGGGUAAGUUCCGACCCGCACGAAAGGCGUAACGAUUUGGGCACUGUCUCAACGAGAGACUCGGUGAAAUCAUAGUACCUGUGAAGAUGCAGGUUACCCGCGACAGGACGGAAAGACCCCGUGGAGCUUUACUGUAGCCUGAUAUUGAAAUUCGGCACAGCUUGUACAGGAUAGGUAGGAGCCUUUGAAACGUGAGCGCUAGCUACGUGGAGGCGCUGGUGGGAUACUACCCUAGCUGUGUUGGCUUUCUAACCCGCACCACUUAUCGUGGUGGGAGACAGUGUCAGGCGGGCAGUUUGACUGGGGCGGUCGCCUCCUAAAAGGUAACGGAGGCGCUCAAAGGUUCCCUCAGAAUGGUUGGAAAUCAUUCAUAGAGUGUAAAGGCAUAAGGGAGCUUGACUGCGAGACCUACAAGUCGAGCAGGGUCGAAAGACGGACUUAGUGAUCCGGUGGUUCCGCAUGGAAGGGCCAUCGCUCAACGGAUAAAAGCUACCCCGGGGAUAACAGGCUUAUCUCCCCCAAGAGUUCACAUCGACGGGGAGGUUUGGCACCUCGAUGUCGGCUCAUCGCAUCCUGGGGCUGUAGUCGGUCCCAAGGGUUGGGCUGUUCGCCCAUUAAAGCGGUACGCGAGCUGGGUUCAGAACGUCGUGAGACAGUUCGGUCCCUAUCCGUCGUGGGCGUAGGAAAUUUGAGAGGAGCUGUCCUUAGUACGAGAGGACCGGGAUGGACAUACCUCUGGUGUACCAGUUGUCGUGCCAACGGCAUAGCUGGGUAGCUAUGUGUGGACGGGAUAAGUGCUGAAAGCAUCUAAGCAUGAAGCCCCCCUCAAGAUGAGAUUUCCCAACUUCGGUUAU